rnacentral:rRNA from 1 species
GAUGAACGCUGGCGGCGUGCCUAAUACAUGCAAGUCGAGCGAACAGACGAGGAGCUUGCUCCUCUGACGUUAGCGGCGGACGGGUGAGUAACACGUGGAUAACCUACCUAUAAGACUGGGAUAACUUCGGGAAACCGGAGCUAAUACCGGAUAAUAUAUUGAACCGCAUGGUUCAAUAGUGAAAGACGGUUUUGCUGUCACUUAUAGAUGGAUCCGCGCCGCAUUAGCUAGUUGGUAAGGUAACGGCUUACCAAGGCAACGAUGCGUAGCCGACCUGAGAGGGUGAUCGGCCACACUGGAACUGAGACACGGUCCAGACUCCUACGGGAGGCAGCAGUAGGGAAUCUUCCGCAAUGGGCGAAAGCUUGGCGGAGCAACGCCGCGUGGGUGAUGAAGGUCUUCGGAUCGUAAAACUCUGUUAUUAGGGAAGAACAAAUGUGUAAGUAACUAUGCACGUCUUGACGGUACCUAAUCAGAAAGCCACGGCUAACUACGUG